UUUGAGUUGGCUGCGCCCUCAAACUCUACUUGGUGGGGGGGGGCAUUUGUUCGAUGGUAUUUUGAACAUGUUUCUCAAAGUAAACAAGCUAAGAUAUGCAUACGUAUGAGAUAAGAGAAGCAAGCUAACAUGCAAGGAAGUCCACACAUGCUAGCUGCACCGUGGCCGCGGUUAAUGGGCUGGAGUUGCUAAGCUUCAAGCAUUAUUGGGCUGAUCAGUAAAGAAUUAGCACUAAUUAAUCUGAUGCAUGUGGGCUCUUACCUGACCCAUGCAUGGCCCAUGCAUCCGCCCAUGCGAGCCUCGUGCGGUGCAUACGAGUGGAUCGUCUCCACGAAUUAUCUUCUGGAAGCUUCUCGCAUGCACACGUGCGCCAGCUGAAAGAUAAGAUCAAACUUUCAAAUUUUGAAUUAGCAGUCGCGCGGCGUGGAACUGAUCCGAGCGCUUCGCUCGGGCGCCGGCUUGCUCGGCAACGGAUUAGAGGCAGCGCACGGCUCGACACUCCUCUCCUGGCCCCUGCCUCCAGCCUAUAAAAGAGACCCCUCAGUCUCUCACGAGGGGGACACCCACAUCCAUCUACACCACGCCGCCCGACUGCGCACGGCCACCAUCGUCACCACGCUCUGCACUGCGCCAGUCCGCCGGCCGGAGUUUGUGAUCAACGGCGACGACUGUCGUGCGGCCAUCUCCAUCUCCAUCACGCACACGACGCCGGCGAGCGAGUCCGCGGCCUGCGGCGGGGUUCCGGCCUCGGCUUCACAACGCCACGCAACUGACGUCGUCGCCGUCGAACACUUCGGCGUCGACUCCAUGGCUCCCAUCCUUCUCGCCGGUAACUCAGGUUGAGAUCGAUCUAUCUUAUUUGUUUUAUUCUUGUUCUUGCAUGUUUCCUUUCAGCACCCAUGCAUGAAGGAGUUCUGCACAUCAUCGUGGGCAUCUCAUGGUCUCCAUGAAGGAGAUUGUCGCUCCUCGCGGUGAGCAGCCUGCCACAUCGCCGACCGCCGCCGAGAUCGCCGUCGCCGUAUCCCCGCCGUGGCUCGAUGCCGUCCGGCUCGCUGUUGUGCAGUUCGCCGCCGGAGCUCGUCCAUGAACAGCCCGCCUCGUCGCCGGCCGCCGAGAUCAUCACCGUCUCGCCGCCACGGAUCGCUGCUGUCCAACUCGCCGCCAUGCAGCCGGUCAUUGGAGCUCGUCGUCUCUGAACAGCCUAUGUCACCGAGAUGCAUCUGUCCAGGAAAGGCCACGAUGCCCUGCAUGCAUCAAGUCAAGAGUUGUUCCUGUACAAGUUUAGAAGCCACCAGAUUGGAUCAACGUGAACAUGUGCUGCCUCUUCAUUCUCGACGUUCACGGAGAGAGGAGUGAUGCCGAUGUGUUCUGUCUUCGACCGGGUUGCAAUCGCCUAGACCCCGUGUCUGUGUCGCGGGUUGCAUACCGGCCGGAUCCGCGCCUGUCAAGUCCCUAUGAUUAUUGAAGACACUUCUAAUUUGCUACGCCAUCUGACGUCUAACUGAUCGAACUGAGCGCCACCAUGCACUACAUCAACGACUCUAUUGCUGUACUUGCUGUUCGUGACCGACGAGGCCGAACGGCACGGGCGGACGUUGUCGACGUUUCGACUGCGUUACCAUCGGCCCAUGGACCGAUGAGGCCAUGAUAAUGCCGACGCCUGCAUUCAUCCAUCAUCAUCAUCAUGCACGGAGGACGCAAAGUGAAGAUCGAAGAAGACGACCAUUGCAGCUUAAUCGGAGGUGUUCUGCGACUAUCUCGCAGAUGUAAUUAACUAGGAGCCUUCUGAGGCCCUAGGAACCAGAAGAUCACAUCGCCCAUGUUCGAUCUGCCCCACGGCAGGCUAUGGAGCGCCCAUAUAUAUAAGGAACCUGUAUUUGUAUUUGUUGAAAAAUAUGAAUAAAAUAUGUGUUCCUUAUUUGUUCUUUGUCUAUUUAUUUUUUGUGUACUUAGUACACUGGCACGCCCGCAAUUUAUUUUCCUCCGCGUGUAGAGGAAACCCCUUUGGGUAUUUUUCUCCCCAAACAGUUGCAUCAUCAAUCAUAGUCGCACAAAGCUACUGUGCCUGCGAA